UAAAUCCGCAAGGUGGAGUUUGUAAACUGCAAACGCGGAUUCAAAGUUAACCCAAAUAUAAAUAUGUGUGAUUUAAAAAAAAUUGAAGACAAAAAUAAUGAUAGUGUAACGGGAGUCACCUGUAGGUGUCUCUAUACCCAUUGUUCAGGGGGUUUAAAAAGGAAGUUGACGUGUGGUUGCUAUGGCGCUAGCUUCCUGUGAGAAAGCCGGUUAGCUCAGAGAGCAGCGUGAGUUGGCUCGAGCAAAGAGUGCGGAUCACGGCAGAGGUAGAUCCUGCUUUUCUGGGAGUUUUAAAGACUGGGCGUGAGGUUUUGCGACGCACCAGGUAUUUUACACUUUUAUCACAGCAGAGGUAUAUUUUAAACAAAUGGUAAAUUAUUUUUUAUCAAAUGUUUUUAAUAUGGUGCUUCUUCUGUUUUUAGUGUUGGAAUACUGUGCCCUGCUGUCCUGUUUAAGUUUAUGUUUUGUACUUGGUUUGUCCGCUCCUGACGGAGCUGUCCCAGCGUGAUUGACUAAUCAAGUGCAGGAGCGGACCAUUUACCCUCUGUUCUGUUUGUCAUUUUUUUUAGUCACUUCCCUCAGGUUUCACCCCGCAUGUUAUUUUGGUGGGUGCCGUAUCCCACCGAGUGCUGUGUAUCACAGUUACGUUGCAUGUUUUUAUUUUUUAUUGUUGUGCAUGAACUGUGGUUUUUUUUGUCUGCAUGCUCCUGUGGUGUCAUUGAUACGGUCAACAUUUUUAUUCUACUCAUGACGGGGUUUUUGUAUUAAUAAAUCUUCGUAACCUGC